rnacentral:ncRNA from 1 species
ACAAAGCGCCAGUACCGCCCCGCGGGCGGAUGACGAGGUGGAGGGAGUAUCGAAAAUUCGGCGGAUGCCCUCCCGCUGCUGCCACAGCGCAGGCCGGUGCAAAAACACGGGCGACCGUGCAACAAAUUACC